rnacentral:rRNA from 1 species
GACGAACGCUGGCGGCGUGCUUAACACAUGCAAGUCGAACGGUGAAGCGCCUUCCUUUUUGGUGGGUGUGGAUGAGUGGCGAACGGGUGAGUAACACGUGAGUAACCUGCCCCCUUCUUCUGGAUAACCGCAUGAAAGUGUGGCUAAUACGGGAUAUUCUGGGUCUGUCGCAUGAUGGGUCUGGGAAAGAUAUUGUUUCGGUGGGGGAUGGGCUCGCGGCCUAUCAGCUUGUUGGUGGGGUGAUGGCCUACCAAGGCGGUGACGGGUAGCCGGCCUGAGAGGAUGGACGGUCACACUGGGACUGAGACACGGCCCAGACUCCUAAGGGAGGCAGCAGUGGGGAAUAUUGCACAAUGGGCGCAAGCCUGAUGCAGCGACGCCGCGUGAGGGAUGGAGGCCUGCGAGUUGUGAAUCUCUUUCGACAGUGAAGCAGGCCUGCCUCGUUUGUGGGUGGGUUGACGGUAGCUGGAGAAGAAGCGCCGGCUAACUACGUG